GGCGGCAGGGCUAACACAUGCUAGUCGAGCGGAUGAGAGGAGCUUGCUCCUUGAUUCAGCGGCGGACGGGUGAGUAAUGCCUAGGAAUCUGCCUGGUAGUGGGGGACAACGUUUCGAAAGGAACGGUAAUACCGCAUACGUCCUACGGGAGAAAGCAGGGGACCUUCGGGCCUUGCGCUAUCAGAUGAGCCUAGGUCGGAUUAGCUAGUUGGUGGGGUAAUGGCUCACCAAGGCGACGAUCCGUAACUGGUCUGAGAGGAUGAUCAGUCACACUGGAACUGAGACACGGUCCAGACUCCUACGGGAGGCAGCAGUGGGGAAUAUUGGACAAUGGGCGAAAGCCUGAUCCAGCCAUGCCGCGUGUGUGAAGAAGGUCUUCGGAUUGUAAAGCACUUUAAGUUGGGAGGAAGGGCAGUAAGCUAAUACCUUGCUGUUUUGACGUUACCGACAGAAUAAGCACCGGCUAACUCUGUGCCAGCAGCCGCGGUAAUACAGAGGGUGCAAGCGUUAAUCGGAAUUACUGGGCGUAAAGCGCGCGUAGGUGGUUUGUUAAGUUGGAUGUGAAAGCCCCGGGCUCAACCUGGGAACUGCAUCCAAAACUGGCAAGCUAGAGUACGGUAGAGGGUGGUGGAAUUUCCUGUGUAGCGGUGAAAUGCGUAGAUAUAGGAAGGAACACCAGUGGCGAAGGCGACCACCUGGACUGAUACUGACACUGAGGUGCUAAAGCGUGGGGGAGCAAACAGGAUUAGAUACCCUGGUAGUCCACGCCGUAAACGAUGUCAACUAGCCGUUGGAAUCCUUGAGAUUUUAGUGGCGCAGCUAACGCAUUAAGUUGACCGCCUGGGGAGUACGGCCGCAAGGUUAAAACUCAAAUGAAUUGACGGGGGCCCCCACAAGCCGUGGAACAUGUGGUUUAAUUCGAAGCAACGCGAAGAACCUUACCAGGCCUUGACAUGCAAAGAACUUUUCAGAGAUGGAUUGGUGGCUUCG
rnacentral:rRNA from 1 species